rnacentral:lncRNA from 1 species
AGGAAGUACCAGCCAGCCGCCGCGCUCGUGGAAGCCAGACUUCGGUUCCUGGGGGCGACUGAGGACUGCCCAAUCUCAGCCCCUAGAAGCUAAGCCAAAGUCUAGUCUCCUUGGGCAGUUUGGGGUGGGGGUGGAGAUGAUUAUUUUCCCCAUCUAGGGCUGGUAGAUUUCCUCCUUGACUAAACCCAGCUGCGUGGGUAAGAGCUGAAGUGAGGGUGUUAGUAUACCUUCCUCCCACGUCCACCUACAGACGAUGCCCCCUCCGCCUCAACUCCCACCCGCAACGUGUGUUCGUUUCGCAAUUUAGCAUCUGGGUUAGUGAAUUGCUACUGGUAGGCUGAGGACGAGGUCUGAGUUCCGAAAGCCAAGCUUGUGUUCUGCAAAACGGUGACGGGCUGCAGUAGUGAAGAGAGAUCAUCAAACUCCAGUGAGAGCCAGAGAGGUUCCUUUUUUGGAGCACUGACUUUGGAGGUCUGGGUUGGGGAGGGGAGAAUGCCUGCCUUUGUUUAAAUGCUUGGAAUUCCUGUCAUCCGGCUCUCACUGGGGAUAGACCGUGUGUGCACGCGCCUGGGGAAUAAAACACAUGCUAGAAGCCUGGAUAUUAUUUUCUGAGCAGAGCCUGCAGCUUUUAGUAACUGGCAAAGUGUAGCGUCACCUAUCUGGAUAUAAGGGAAAUAAACUUUAAUGGCAACUUUG